rnacentral:rRNA from 1 species
GACAGAGGUGCCGAGCGUUAGGCGGAAUCACUGGGCUUAAAGCGUGUGUAGGCGGACUUGUAAGUACCUUGUGAAAUCCCACAGCUCAACUGUGGAACUGCUUGGUAUACUGCUUGUCUUGAGCCACUUAGGGGCAGUCGGAACAGACGGUGGAGCGGUGAAAUGCGUAGAUAUCGUCUGGAACGCCAAAAGGUGAAAAACAGAACUGCUGGGGAGUGUGCUGACGCUGAGACACGAAAGCCAGGGGAGCAAAGCGGG